AAAAAGCCCUAUACCCGUUAAGGCAUGAUGGCCUGUACCCGAAACCGACACAGGUGGGGUGGUAGAGAAUACCGAGGGGCGCGAGGUAACUCUCUCUAAGGAACUCGGCAAAAUGGCCCCGUAACUUCGGGAGAAGGGGUGCCACCGCGAGGUGGUCGCAGUGAAGAGGCCCAGGCGACUGUUUACCAAAAACACAGGUCUCCGCUAAGUCGCAAGACGAUGUAUGGGGGCUGACGCCUGCCCAGUGCCGGAAGGUUAAGGAAGCUGGUCAGCGCAAGCGAAGCUGGCGACUGAAGCCCCGGUGAACGGCGGCCGUAACGAUAACGGUCCUAAGGUAGCGAAAUUCCUUGUCGGGUAAGUUCCGACCCGCACGAAAGGCGUAACGAUCUGGGCGCUGUCUCGGAGAGAGGCUCGGCGAAAUAGAAUUGUCUGUGAAGAUGCGGACUACGUGCACCCGGACAGAAAGACCCUAUGAAGCUUUACUGUAGCUUGGUAUUGUGCUCGGGCUCGGAAUGCGCAGGAUAGGUGGGAGGCUUUGAUCCAUUGCUUGCGGGUGAUGGUGAGCCACUGGUGAGAUACCACUCUUUCCGAGCUAGAGUUCUAACAGCAACCCGUUAUCCGGGUGCUGGACAGUAUCAGGUGGGCAGUUUGACUGGGGCGGUCGCCUCCUAAAAGGUAACGGAGGCGCGCAAAGGUCUGCUCAGGCUGGUUGGAAAUCAGCCGACGAGUGUAAAAGCAGAAGCAGGCUUGACUGUGAGACCUACAAGUCGAACAGGGAGGAAACUCGGCUUUAGUGAUCCGACGGUUCUGCGUGGAAGGGCCGUCGCUCAACGGAUAAAAGUUACUCUAAGGAUAACAGGCUGAUCUCCCCCAAGAGUUCACAUCGACGGGGAGGUUUGGCACCUCGAUGUCGGCUCAUCGCAACCUGGGGCUGAAGUCGGUCCCAAGGGUUGGGCUGUUCGCCCAUUAAAGCGGUACGCGAGCUGGGUUCAGAACGUCGUGAGACAGUUCGGUCCAUAUCCGGUGCACGCGCAGGAAUAUUGAGAGGAUUUCUCCCUAGUACGAGAGGACCGGGAGGAACGCACCUCUGGUGUGCCAGUUAUCGUGCCAACGGUAAACGCUGGGUAGCCAUGUGCGGAGUGGAUAACCGCUGAAAGCAUCUAAGUGGGAAGCCCACCUCAAGAUGAGUAUUCCCAUGGCAUAAGCCAGUAAGGUCACGGGAAGAACACCCGUUGAUAGGCUCUACGUGGAAGCGCAGUAAUGUGUGAAGCGGAGGAGUACUAAUAGACCGAGGGCUUGACC
rnacentral:rRNA from 1 species